AUCAUCACCACAGACAUAAAUUAGGCAUCUUUCUCUCUACAUUAACCUAGGGCUAUUCAAUUUGAUGCGUUACGUUAGAAGAGCGUUCAUUUGAAAUGUUCCCCUAUAUAAAUCUCAACACAGGUAAUCAUCUACCCAGGUGUUGAUUUUAAAAUAUAGAUAUUCACAAGUGGUGGAGAGAAGCUUAAGCUAUAAAUUUGGGAUGUUGGACGGGAUGCGGUAAACAUAUCUAAUGGAAUGGUAGUCAAAUAAGAGUUGUGUGUAGCUAAUGGUAGUCAUAGCUAAUGGAAUGGAAUGGUAGUCAUAAUGGAAUCAGUACAACAUUUUUCUUGAGUUUGCAUACAUAAUCCAAAGAAACUUUUGCCACUAUUUCAAAUUCCUAAAGUAAUGUACUUUAUGUAACUGAAGUCUUAUCAGAAGAAAAUAACAAAAUAAACUCGGCAAAGGAGUUCAUAAGAACCUAAACCGACUGGGUAGUUGAAGAUA